rnacentral:rRNA from 1 species
UUUAUGGAGAGUUUGAUCCUGGCUCAGGAUGAACGCUGGCGGCGUGCCUAAUACAUGCAAGUCGAGCGAACGGACGAGAAGCUUGCUUCUCUGAUGUUAGCGGCGGACGGGUGAGUAACACGUGGAUAACCUACCUAUAAGACUGGGAUAACUUCGGGAAACCGGAGCUAAUACCGGAUAAUAUUUUGAACCGCAUGGUUCAAAAGUGAAAGACGGUCUUGCUGUCACUUAUAGAUGGAUCCGCGCUGCAUUAGCUAGUUGGUAAGGUAACGGCUUACCAAGGCAACGAUGCAUAGCCGACCUGAGAGGGUGAUCGGCCACACUGGAACUGAGACACGGUCCAGACUCCUACGGGAGGCAGCAGUAGGGAAUCUUCCGCAAUGGGCGAAAGCCUGACGGAGCAACGCCGCGUGAGUGAUGAAGGUCUUCGGAUCGUAAAACUCUGUUAUUAGGGAAGAACAUAUGUGUAAGUAACUGUGCACAUCUUGACGGUACCUAAUCAGAAAGCCACGGCUAACUACGUGCCAGCAGCCGCGGUAAUACGUAGGUGGCAAGCGUUAUCCGGAAUUAUUGGGCGUAAAGCGCGCGUAGGCGGUUUUUUAAGUCUGAUGUGAAAGCCCACGGCUCAACCGUGGAGGGUCAUUGGAAACUGGAAAACUUGAGUGCAGAAGAGGAAAGUGGAAUUCCAUGUGUAGCGGUGAAAUGCGCAGAGAUAUGGAGGAACACCAGUGGCGAAGGCGACUUUCUGGUCUGUAACUGACGCUGAUGUGCGAAAGCGUGGGGAUCAAACAGGAUUAGAUACCCUGGUAGUCCACGCCGUAAACGAUGAGUGCUAAGUGUUAGGGGGUUUCCGCCCCUUAGUGCUGCAGCUAACGCAUUAAGCACUCCGCCUGGGGAGUACGACCGCAAGGUUGAAACUCAAAGGAAUUGACGGGGACCCGCACAAGCGGUGGAGCAUGUGGUUUAAUUCGAAGCAACGCGAAGAACCUUACCAAAUCUUG